rnacentral:rRNA from 1 species
UACGUAGGGUGCAGGCGUUAAUCGGAAUUACUGGGCGUAAAGCGUGCGCAGGCGGUGAUGCAAGACAGAUGUGAAAUCCCCGGGCUUAACCUGGGAACUGCAUUUGUGACUGCAUUGCUGGAGUGCGGCAGAGGGGGAUGGAAUUCCGCGUGUAGCAGUGAAAUGCGUAGAUAUGCGGAGGAACACCGACGGCGAAGGCAAUCCCCUGGGCCUGCACUGACGCUCAUGCACGAAAGCGUGGGGAGCAAACAGG